UCAGCUUUCUGCUGCCUCUACUUCCUGGGGCUGGCCUAGCCUGGUGCUACUACCAGCUCCCAACACUCUGUCAGCAACCAGGACGGUGCUGCAGGAGGGACGCCCUAUGUAAUAGGGACCAACCUCUGGGCAGUGUUCACCCUGUGGAGUUUGGCUCCAUCAUCACUGGAGAGCCCUCGCCCCCGAACCCUGAGGAGUCUGAGCUUACCUAGGAGCUGCCUGCCCUCUGAGGCUUGUGCCGUGCAGACCUGCCCGAUCCCUACGGUAGGUGAAGCACCCCAGGCCCUCCCAUUGCCCAGUCACCAAUCUGUCUCAGUUUGUUGCCUACUCCUCAGAUUUAUGGGCUAUAAAUAAGGAAACAGGCAUGGGCCUCAGAGAAGCCAUUGUCAUGGAGACCAGGAUGCUGGAAGCCCCCUUAAGGGCAGGGAAGGCAGACCCUGUGGUUCUUAGGACGAAUGUGUCCUGCCACAUAACUUGCAGCCUCUGGGCCCAGUCCUCAGUGACUCAGUGCACUCUCAUACUUCCGAUGGCCGGAUGCUGAGCUCCCUACUCACCACAGGAACCCAGAGCCAUCUCAUGAUGUAUCCCACCUGCCGGGAGAGCCGUGCUAUUCUGAAAUGUCACAAUGUAUCUAGUAACAGUAAAUCCACAAGCUCU
rnacentral:lncRNA from 1 species